CUCCCACUGAUUGAGCUUCUGUUCUUACAGUGCCCUGCUAUACGCAGAUACUGAGGGUGACCCCCUCCUGCGGACUACUCUACUGGACCUACAGGGUCCCGUUAUAACCAUAAUGAGGGUGACCCCCUCUCGCUGACUACACUACUGAGUGUACAGACCUCUAUGAUACCACACGGAGGGUGACCCUCUCUUACCUACAGCACUGCUGGAUCUGCAAUGCCCGGUUAUGGUUAUGAGGGUGACCCCCUCCUGCCGUCUGCACUGCUGGACCGGUAAUGCCUGGUUACUUUAUUAUACGGCUAACAACUACGGCACUACUGUACCUACAGUGUCCGAUUAUGUUCAGACUGAGGGUGACCCCCUCCCCUGCUGGCCUAUACUGCAUGGUAUGCUUGUGCUUGUUGGGUGACCCCCUCUUGCACGCUGGGUGACCCCCAGCUGGCCGCACCAGGUAUCACUCCGACAGUGUUACCUCUAUGGCAGUUAUGCAAUCACGACUGAAGGACAAAUCUCCCGUACCCAGAAGGUCACUUGGCCUGUCCUCGUGCUGCCCCACUGACCUCACUGCCAGAAACCAUCAGUACCCUACAGGGGACACUCCACCGGCCAUCCUAGAUGCUACAUCAAGCACCCCUGGUACUCAUUGGCUAACGG